GACGAACGCUGGCGGCGUGCUUAACGCAUGCAAGUCGAACGGUGAAGCGCCUUCCUUUUUGGUGGGUGUGGAUGAGUGGCGAACGGGUGAGUAACACGUGAGUAACCUGCCCCCUUCUUCUGGAUAACCGCAUGAAAGUGUGGCUAAUACGGGAUAUUCUGGGUCUGUCGCAUGAUGGGUCUGGGAAAGAUAUUGUUUCGGUGGGGGAUGGGCUCGCGGCCUAUCAGCUUGUUGGUGGGGUGAUGGCCUACCAAGGCGGGGACGGGUAGCCGGCCUGAGAGGGUGGACGGUCACACUGGGACUGAGACACGGCCCAGACUCCUACGGGAGGCAGCAGUGGGGAAUAUUGCACAAUGGGCGCAAGCCUGAUGCAGCGACGCCGCGUGAGGGAUGGAGGCCUUCGGGUUGUGAACCUCUUUCGCCAGUGAAGCAGGCCUGCCUCGUUUGUGGGUGGGUUGACGGUAGCUGGAUAAGAAGCGCCGGCUAACUACGUG
rnacentral:rRNA from 1 species